GACGAACGCUGGCGGCGUGCCUAACACAUGCAAGUCGAACGGAGUUUAUGGAAGGGUAACCGGAAGUAAACUUAGUGGCGAACGGGUGAGUAACGCGUGAACAAUCUGCCUUCCAGAGGGGGAUAACGUUGGGAAACUGACGCUAAUACCGCAUAAGACCACAAUGCCGCAUGACGAAGAGGUCAAAGGAGCAAUCCGCUGGAAGAUGAGUUCGCGUCCCAUUAGGUAGUUGGUGAGGUAACGGCCCACCAAGCCGACGAUGGGUAGCCGAGCUGAGAGGCUGAUCGGCCACACUGGAACUGAGACACGGUCCAGACUCCUACGGGAGGCAGCAGUGGGGAAUAUUGGGCAAUGGGGGAAACCCUGACCCAGCAACGCCGCGUGAGGGAAGAAGGUUUUCGGAUUGUAAACCUCUGUCGCAGGGGACGAAGAAUGACGGUACCCUGUAAGAAAGCCCCGGCUAACUACGUG
rnacentral:rRNA from 1 species